rnacentral:lncRNA from 1 species
CAGAAGAUAUGAGUUCUAGAACUUUUCCUCUGCAUUCCCUUUUCAGCUCCCUGUUUUCUUAUCUGCAAAAUGAGAUCUUUAACUACCAGCAGAGUGUGGAGCCUGCUUAAGAUUCUCUCUCUCCCCUCCUCCCUUAGCCUACUCUUCCACUCACAUGCUGUCUCUCUCUCCCACAAAAAAAUAAAUAAAAUAAUAAAAUAAAAUAAAAUAAAAUAAAAUAAAAUAAAAUAACAUCUUCAAACCUAAGUAUAAAUUUCAAGGAGAAUCCUGGAGAAGAAUUGUGUUGUUGACAAUGGCAUCUUAAAAAAAGAAGAAGAAGAAGAAGAAGAAGAAGAAGAAGAAGAAGAAGAAGAAGAAGAAGAAGAAGAAGGAGAGCUGCUGCAUCUCAAAAUGGAGAAAUGAGGGGAGGAAUGAGUUGGCUGAGGUGGCCAAAGACUCUCCUAGGAGGAAGUUCUGCCAACUACCAUGGAAAAAAUAGUCUUGUUGGAUCUUGAUUACAUUUUCCGAUCCCUAUAAGCUUAUCCAUCACUAACUCCCAGAGCUUUUCUAAGUGGGCUUAACUCUUCUCACCUCUGAGCACCCAGGAGGAACUUGUUCUCAAACUCCAAAGAAAAGCAUUUGGGAAAAUGGAUGGGAGCCAUUGAUGAAGCCCAAGAGCUCCUUGGGACAACAAACUCCACAAGAUUUUCGAGUACCUUCAGAAUAAAUCAGCCAUGGAGCUCUAGAGAAAAAGCCCAGUGUAACGCUCAAACGUGUGGAGGGGAGCGGAUCAUUUUCUACAGAACUGUGUGCAAUUCUUAUCAGGCCAAGUCCAGCUGCUCCUGGCUAACUAGCUUGCCCAAGUGACUCCCCCGGGCCCCAGCUAGGAGCAACUAAAAUAAAAUGCAAAAGGCACCACCCCUUCCCCCUCA